AAUAAAAGAUAUCAACAUCUUAAGAAGGAAGUUAAGAGUAAAUUAUAACAAAAAUUACCUAGAAAAACUAGAUAUUGAUACCCAAGGAGGAUUGAUUAUCAACUUGGGUCGAAAUCAGAUCCUUAGGCACUAAACCGAGCACCUACCGCAAUUCAGGGGUUCUUUUGUAGAUUGGAGAGUAGAAUUUGAUAGUAAAUUAGAUAGAAUUUUUAUAAACAAUGGUUUUUGGUGAUUUUGAUUUGUUAUGACUUUGUAAGAGCUUUACAAAGUUAAGUUUAUUUUUGGAUGACUUGGGUUUUGUGAAAUAAAAUAGGAUUGAUAUUUCCAGUGAUUUCAAGAGUUUUGUAAUAGAUCUAUAAGUGAAAUUUUGUGGAUUAUUGGUUAUAGUUGUGUUUAAUAUGUGUUGUGAAUCUUAGCUCGAUUUAAUAUUUUAAUUGAGGAUUAUUGAGGUUUAAGUGGAUCAAGGUCUCAAAAUUAGAAUUUUAGGUUCAGUGAGGGUUUUUAAGAUUUCUUAUAAUCUACUAGUUGGAUUAGAGUGAAAUUUGUGAGUGAGGAUAUUAGACUUAUUUUUCUAUGUAUAUGAGAAUUUUGAAAUCAAUCAAAUAGUGAAAAGGAGAAAUAUUGGCUCUGGGAGAUUGGCAUCAAGAUCAAAGAAGGAGGCCGGUCAAUAUCCAAGCACAUUUUUGACGCUAUUGUCUAUUUGGUAAUUUCAAUCCUUUUCAAAUUUUUUAUGCUUCUUGUCAACUUAAUUGUUAAAAAGCAUGAAAAAAAUUAGUUAAGGUCAACGGUUCAUUUAUUAGUAAUUGAGGUUUAAAUCUAUUAUAGAAAUUACUAGGAUUUGAUUUAGGGUUUGGUUAGGAUUUGGUUUAGGGUUUAGGAUUUGAUUAGGGUUUGAUUUAGGUUUGGAUUUGGUUAAGAUUUGAUUUAGGGUUUAAGAUUUGAUUUAGGAUUGAUUAGGGUUUGAUUUAGGAUUUAAGGUUUGGUUUAGGAUUUAAGAUUUAGGGUAUAAGAUUUGGUUAGGAUUUGGUCAGGAUUUGAUUUGAUUUAGGAUUUUAUUUGAGUUUGUUUAGGAUUUAAGAUUUAGUUAGUUUUUGGCCUAAAGUUUGAAUGAAGUCCAAUAGGAUUUCAAUUAAGAUUAAAUUAAGAUUGAAUUGACAUGUAUUUGAGAUAUGUUUGUAAUCAUUCUAAUAUUUCUUUAAAUUUUCUUAUUUUUUCUUUGUAAUUCCUUUGAAAUUUCUCUGAAUUUGAUUAAAGCUUGUUUAGCAUUGUUAGUGUUCUAUUAGAAUUAGGAUUUUGUUGUUGCAAUUUCCAUUCUACCUUCCAUAGCCAGGUGCCCGGAGCAUUCUCAAACAAGACUUCUCAUAUUACAACAGCGGUUAGGUUAAGAAAGAACCUAGGGUUUAGUUGGAUGAAGUAAAAAUGGAUAUAAUAACAAAAAGAUGGAAGUUGUUUUGUUGGUUAGCAACCACCACCUAUAAGUAAAGGGUGUUGGAAGUGGGAGGUAUCUCAUUCC
rnacentral:lncRNA from 1 species